AGUGAACGCUGGCGGUAGGCCUAACACAUGCAAGUCGAACGGCAGCACAGUAAGAGCUUGCUCUUACGGGUGGCGAGUGGCGGACGGGUGAGGAAUACAUCGGAAUCUACUUUUUCGUGGGGGAUAACGUAGGGAAACUUACGCUAAUACCGCAUACGACCUACGGGUGAAAGCAGGGGAUCUUCGGACCUUGCGCGAUUGAAUGAGCCGAUGUCGGAUUAGCUAGUUGGCGGGGGAAAGGCCCACCAAGGCGACGAUCCGUAGCUGGUCUGAGAGGAUGAUCAGCCACACUGGAACUGAGACACGGUCCAGACCCCUACGGGAGGCAGCAGUGGGGAAUAUUGGACAAUGGGCGCAAGCCUGAUCCAGCCAUACCGCGUGGGUGAAGAAGGCCUUCGGGUUGUAAAGCCCUUUUGUUGGGAAAGAAAAGCAGCAGGUUAAUACCCCGCUGUUCUGACGGUACCCAAAGAAUAAGCACCGGCUAACUUCGUG
rnacentral:rRNA from 1 species